UACGUAGGGGGCAAGCGUUGUCCGGAAUCAUUGGGCGUAAAGAGCGUGUAGGCGGCCCGGUAAGUCCGCUGUGAAAGUCCAGGGCUCAACCCUGGAAUGCCGGUGGAAACUGUCGGGCUAGAGUCCGGAAGAGGCGAGUGGAAUUCCUGGUGUAGCGGUGAAAUGCGCAGAUAUCAGGAGGAACACCGAUGGCGAAGGCAGGUCUCUGGGCCGAUACUGACGCUGAGGAGCGAAAGCGUGGGGAGCGAACAGG
rnacentral:rRNA from 1 species